UUCAAAUCCCCCAAAAAAAGUUUCUAAUUAAAUAUUCCAAACUCUUUACGCGUUUAUCUUCUCCUUCUCUAUAAACCCUAGCUUCAAUUUUUUCUCUCUCCGCGUAAAAUUCACUCUGUAACUAUGGAUGAAAACGAUAAGCAGGUUGAUAAUGAUCCAUUACCUGGUGGUGGUGGUGGUGGUGCAGCGGAGUUCACCGGCGCUACUACUGAAUCAAGCUGGUCACUCGGUGGUGGAGAUGAUGAAUCGGAUAAUGUUUACUUCUUCGGUACUAGUAGUACUGAUAGAGAGAGCAGUAUAUUAACCGAAUUCGGCUGGAAUUUUCAACCGCACGGAAAUAGAGAUGUUCGCGCAAGUGGUGACGGUAGUCGAUUUGAUCGGAUCGAUGAGGAUUUGGCGGGAAAUAGUACUACAACUACUGCUUCUGUUUCUGCUUCUGUUUCUAUUACUGAACCGACGGUGACGGAGAAAAUCACCGACGAACCUGUUUCAUCUAGCUGUUCUGAUGAUCCCCCGGAGAAAUCUACAGCUUCCGGUAGCUCCUCCGCCUCUCGACCGCCGUCCGAUACAGCGUUGAAUAUUCCACAGAAGCAAGGUUAAAAAGAAGGGUCAGAAACGAAUCAGGCAGCCCCGCUUUGCAUUUAUGACCAAAAGUGAAGUUGAUCAUCUUGAAGAUGGCUAUAGAUGGAGGAAAUAUGGCCAAAAAGCUGUUAAAAACAGUCCAUUUCCAAGGAGUUAUUAUCGUUGUACAAAUACAAAGUGUACAGUAAAGAAAAGAGUGGAGAGAUCCUCUGAAGAUUCCUCAAUUGUAAUCACAACAUAUGAAGGACAACAUUGUCACCAUACAGUUGGAUUUCCUAGAGGUGGACUUAUCAAUCACGAAGCAUUUACAUCUCAAUUAACACCUUUACCCUCACAAUUCUAUCAUCCAUCCGGUGUUCAAUACCCUCAUGAAUUAGUUCCUAUGAGUAGCCCCGCUGCACCAGAAUCACAUACAAUGCCUGGUGAAACCGGACCCGAACCUAUUAGAUUGCCAGAAACAAGUCAACCAGAUGCUACACAACAACCAACUGAUGAAGGAUUGCUUGGAGAUAUUGUACCUCCUGGGAUGCGAAGCAGAUAAUAUAAAGGGUAUAUAUUAUAUAGCAUGGAUGUCAUUCUUGAAUUUAGCUGGAAUCAACCCUCUAUUUUAUAUGAAGUUAGCUAUAGCUAGCUUUUUAUAUUUUUUGCUGAUCAUGAUAUAGGAAUCAUGACUUAUUAAUGGAGAGCCAUUGGAUAUAUAUAGCAGCUCUAGAUAUAUAAUUGUAGAGUUUACCCUUUUUUCAACUUUCUGUUGUUGGGAUUGGUCAUUU
rnacentral:misc_RNA from 1 species